CCUACGGGUGGCAGCAGUGGGGAAUAUUGCACAAUGGGGGAAACCCUGAUGCAGCAACGCCGCGUGAGUGAAGAAGUAUUUCGGUAUGUAAAGCUCUAUCAGCAGGGAAGAAGAUGACGGUACCUGAGCAAGAAGCCCCGGCUAACUACGUGCCAGCAGCCGCGGUAAUACGUAGGGGGCAAGCGUUAUCCGGAUUUACUGGGUGUAAAGUGAGCGUAGACGGUUGGACAAGUCUGACGUGAAAGCCCGGGGCUCAACCCCGGGACUGCUUUGGAAACUGCCUGACUGGAGUGCGUGAGAGGCUAGCGGAAUUCCUGGUGUAGGAGUGAAAUGCGUAGAUAUUAGGAAGAACACCAGUGGCGAAGGCGACUUGCUGGACAGUAACUGACGUUGAGGCUCGAAAGCGUGGGGAGCAAACAGGAUUAGAUACCCGGGUAGUC
rnacentral:rRNA from 1 species